rnacentral:rRNA from 1 species
GACGGGGGGUCCAAGCGUUGUUCGGAAUCAUUGGGCGUAAAGCGGGUGCAGGCGGCUUUGUAAGUCAGGAGUGAAAGCCCUGGGCUCAACCCAGGAAGUGCUUUUGAUACUGCUUAGCUUGAGUGUGGGAGAGGAUAGUGGAAUUCCUGGUGUAGUGGUGAAAUACGUAGAGAUCAGGAGGAACACCGGCGGCGAAGGCGGCUAUCUGGCCCAACUCUGACGCUCAGACCCGAAAGCGUGGGGAUCAAACAGG